rnacentral:snRNA from 1 species
AUCACUUCUCGGCCUUUUGGCUAAGAUCAAGUGUAGUAUCUGUUCUUAUCAGUUUAAUAUCUGAUACACUCCCUAUCUGGGGGCCAUAUAUUAAAUGGAUUUUUAGAACAGGGAGAUGGAAGAAGAGCUUGCUCUGUCCACUCCAUGCAUUGACCUGGUAUUGCAGUACCUCCAGGACCGGUGCAAAAAAG